rfam:Rattus norvegicus chromosome 3, whole genome shotgun sequence.
GGGGAUUUAGCUCAGUGGUAGAGCACUUGCCUAGUAAGCGUAAGGCCCUGGGUUCGGUUCUCAGCUCCG